UAUAACGACGUAGGUGAUCAGGAGGAGUAACACGUAACCGAAAUGGCACGCCAACUGCAGCAGCUUGCUAGUGCGCGUACCUUUGCGUACGAUUAUUGUUUAGAAUAUCAGUAUUGUAUUGAUUAUGCCUUUUCAGUAGCGGGACUAAAGAAACAGUUUCAUGAAGCAUGCCAGCUUUUAAAUGAAAAGAUGAAAGGAGCUGAAGGAACAACACUGGAUGAAGAUGUGAACACCUUUAAAUUUAAUUGAAGUUGAAGUAUGAAGAAUUUCUGUUUCUGUGAAUGGUUAUGUUAUAAGAGUAUGAGGUGACAUCCAAAAGUCAUAAAGGUCUUUGUAGACUGUAGUUGUAGACUGUUAAUACCUUGACUCCUCAAACCUUCUGCCAACCAUCAACAGUCAUGGGCACCUACAAGCAGCUGCCUAGUGCUGUAAAAGCUGAAAUAAUCAAUGCCCACAAAGCAGGAGAAGGCUAUAAAAAGUUAGCCAAGCGUUUUCAGCUAGCUGCUUCUUCAGUUCGUAAUGUAAUUAAGAAAUGGCAGUUAACAGGAAUGGUGGAUGCUCAGAUGAGGCCUGGAAGACCAAGAAAACUUUCAGAGACAACUGCUGGUAAGGUUGCUGGAGAGGCUAAUCAAAAGCCCUGUUUUGAUAUAAAAGACCUUCAGGAAGAUUUAACAGAUUUGGUGAAUACUCCAACUCUUCAGACCAUCUCCCAACCAUCAACAGUCAUGGGAAACUACAAGCAGCUGCCUAGUGCUCUGAAAGAGGAAAUCAUUGAAGGCCACAAAGCAGGAGAAGGCUAUAAAAAGUUAGCCAAACGUUUUCAGGUAGCUGCUUCGUCAGUUCGUAAUGUGAUUAAGAAAUGGCAGUUAACAGGAAUGGUGGUUAAGUUCAGGCCUGGAAGACCAAGAAAACUUUCCGAUAGAACUGCUGGUAAGAUUGUUAGAAAGGCUAAUCAAAACUCCCGUUUGACUGUAAAAGACUUCCAGGAAGCCUUAAGAGACCCAAGAACAACAGGUCUGAAAAAGAAAUGUGUCAACCUCACCAAACAAAUAAUGGAUAAAAUAUAUAUCACUGAGGACCAAGACACACUUGAGAAACUUUCAGAAAAAUUAAGCACCCUGCUGGAAGACCUCACAUCUCCUCCCAGUGAUGACAACGGAUUGCCAUUCCAGCCACACUGUCACAUAGGUCGACUGAAAGACUGAACUCCAGGUAAUUGAACAGAGUGGGCGCCCAUGCUGAAAGCAUGCCAUAAGCCCACAGAGUGGCAGGCCUGUAGAUUCAGUGGCUAUCACCCUGCCCCCCCCCCGUACAGGGUCAGAACUUGCAUGUUGGUUCUGGAAAAGGUGAAUGUGAUUCCUUGGAUCUGGCCUGUUGUGCCUCAUAUGCUUCCUUGUUUGUAGGAUUCUACAGCCCAAUGCCCUCCUCAGGCAGGCUGUCUCAGUUUGAACUUUAUAGUCUUUUAGUGGAAUAUCUAAUGCAAGUUUGCAAAUUUGCUGUGGUUUGUUGUUUGCUUAAAUAUUUGUUUAAAUGGCAUAAGUUUGUAUCAUGGUAACAUGUGUGGGGUUAGCUCUCAGGCUUCUAAUAACCAAUGUACAUGACGUAAAUGUAAUUCCUGAAAAUAGAGGUUUCUAUCUCAAUGUGAAACUGUGUUAAAUGUAAAUGAUGACCAUUAAUGCAUUCUGUAUGGGUUUAAAAUCACAAUUCAGAAGUGUUUUAACAUCUUUACAAAUCUGCCCAUCAGUAGCAAAGUAGUUUGAUAAUACUUGACAUUGCUGUACAGGUUUUCAGUCUCAUGGUUUAAGCUGCAUUAGCAGAGGUAGACCUUACUUUUAUCCAUUAAUUCCAACCAACAGAUGCUCAGUACAACACAUGACCUUCUUGACCCAGAUUAGUACAUUCCUGAUGAGAAUGCAGGAGUGAGUUUGUCACAGACAGGUAACAGGCAUAUUGGAUACUGAAAUGCCUUUUAAUUUACUUAAUUAUGUUAGCUUCUUGUAAAAGUAGGCCUACAGUAAGUUCUGAUAUAUUGUAGGCCUACCAUAUGUUAUAAAAGACAGUUUACCAUAACUGUAGUCUGACUUUCUGACAGUCAGUGGCAACACGUCACAUUCAGGAGAACAGCAGUUGAGCUGUAAAACAUAAGUGUACCAGUUAAAGGGGAACUUGGCAACUAUUUCAACUGAAUAAACCCAUUUAGAAAUC